rnacentral:rRNA from 1 species
AUUGAACGCUGGCGGCAGGCCUAACACAUGCAAGUCGAGCGGAUGAAGGUAGCUUGCUAUCUGAUUCAGCGGCGGACGGGUGAGUAAUGCCUAGGAAUCUGCCUGGUAGUGGGGGACAACGUUUCGAAAGGAACGCUAAUACCGCAUACGUCCUACGGGAGAAAGUGGGGGAUCUUCGGACCUCACGCUAUCAGAUGAGCCUAGGUACGAUUAGCUAGUUGGUGAGGUAAGGGCUCACCAAGGCGACGAUCGUUAACUGGUCUGAGAGGAUGAUCAGUCACACUGGAACUGAGACACGGUCCAGACUCCUACGGGAGGCAGCAGUGGGGAAUAUUGGACAAUGGGCGAAAGCCUGAUCCAGCCAUGCCGCGUGUGUGAAGAAGGUCUUCGGAUUGUAAAGCACUUUAAGUUGGGAGGAAGGGCAGUAAGUUAAUACCUUGCUGUUUUGACGUUACCAACAGAAUAAGCACCGGCUAACUUCGUGCCAGCAGCCGCCGUAAGAC